rnacentral:lncRNA from 1 species
UACAUUUUAAAAAUACCAUUGUUUAUACAGGAUAUGUUUAGUAUUUUAUUUCUUUUAACAUUUACAGUUUUUCUAUAUCUUACUACAUGGCCUUUUUUGGUAAAGUGCCACAUCAUUCUGAGAAAUAUAUAUAAUUUUAAUGUUUCAUUCAGAAGAUACCAUCUGACUUUCAUUUAUUAAUGAAUUGCUGUUUGGUUUGUGAAUUUAUUUGCUAUUGCAGUUACAUUAUGUUUAGUUACAUGACAACUCUUAGUUUCUCUAACAUUCUUUAACCAUAUGAUGUAACUUUAAUGACCCACCAAACUCAUGCCUACCACAUAGUGAACCCCAGCCCAUGGCCACUCACAGGGGCUCUCUUAGCACUCCUUCCCACCUCUGGAAUAACCAUGUGAUUUCACUUCCACUCUACCCUCCUUCUCUUCAUUAUUGCUUCAUUGUUCAUGACUCCUUAAAUUCCUUGUUUAUCUGUUAAUGUGAAUUUUAACUUUUUUGUCUAAUAACAGAAUUGCACCAUUUGACUUUUUGUAUUCAGCAAAUACAUAAUUUUUUUCCCAACUUCUCAUUUUGAUUCUGUGUGUGAUUACUUUGUGGACAAUUUUAAAAAAUAAAUAACUGAUUGCUGUAUUUUGUCUUGUUCAUCCUUUGACUCUAUGUUGAGAACCUGGAAUUAGAAUCUGGAACCAACAGAGGAGAAAGUAUCUUUUGGUGAAGGAAAUAUUGGACAUGCUGGUGAGCUUGCUGGUGAGCUGGUGAGCUUCAAAUGUUGGAAAGUCAGAAUGGCACCUGAGCAAUGGUGAAUCAGUUUCAGUUGUAACAUCAGUAGCAGCAUAUUGACCAACAGAGAAAGAGAUGCUACAGAGUGAAACUAUUGUGAAGAGAUCAUUUGACAAUGAUCGAGCUGUAUUCAAUGCUGGUAAAAUCUCCCUCCACAUCAAUUGAGAAACAUAGUAAAAGCAAAAUCUCUCUGAAAAAAUAUGUUAUGUUCGAUCUUCAUUAGCCAUAUCCAGAAAAAUACCUCAAUGUGCAUUCUGAAUCCAUCACCUCUCUAUCAGGAAGUAAGUUUUAUCAUGAAUACCCUCUGGCUAGUCAUAUUUAUAUUGAUUAUAUAUAGUCAUAUUUAUAUUGAUUAGAGUUCUUCAGUCUUUUGAGGCAUCUAGAUAUUGUGUUGGAUAAUGUACUAGGAUUAGAGUC